UAACUCUGGUUUCCCUUUCAAAACGCAUAAAUCUUUCGCUUUUACUAAAGGUUUUUCGGGGGAGGGGAACAACUUAGUGUUCUUAUCAAUUUAUUCUAUAGCCCACUCGGUGGGUUC